rnacentral:rRNA from 1 species
GGUGAGAUUUAUCCUGGCUCAGGACGAACGCUGGGGCGUGCCUAAUACAUGCAAGUCGAGCGGAACCAGAAGAGCUUGCUCUUUUGGUUUAGCGGCGGACGGGUGAGUAACACGUGGGCAACCUGCCCUGCAGAUCGGGAUAACUCCGGGAAACCGGUGCUAAUACCGAAUAGUUUACCGUUCCUCCUGGAACGGUACGGAAAGACGGUUUCGGCUGUCACUGCAGGAUGGGCCCGCGGCGCAUUAGCUAGUUGGUGGGGUAAUGGCCCACCAAGGCGACGAUGCGUAGCCGACCUGAGAGGGUGAUCGGCCACACUGGGACUGAGACACGGCCCAGACUCCUACGGGAGGCAGCAGUAGGGAAUCUUCCGCAAUGGACGCAAGUCUGACGGAGCAACGCCGCGUGAGUGACGAAGGUUUUCGGAUCGUAAAACUCUGUUGUGAGGGAAGAACAAGUACCAAUUAACUACUGGUACCGUGACGGACCUC